rnacentral:lncRNA from 1 species
UUGGCGCCCCGGCCUUCGGGCAGUUAUUUUUGGGUUCUGCUGUGCCCGCGGCCUAUUUUUGGCACACGGAGGUGCCUCGCAAAGUCUCGCGCCAUUCCGAGUCCGGCGGAUGAAGUGGGCCAGCCCCAGCCCCAGCCCCCAAGGCUAUAGCCCACCCGUUUUUGUGGCCUUUUUCCGCUGGACGAACUUGGCGCCCUGACCUUCGGGCGGUUAUUUUUGUGCGCGGCUGUGCCCGCGGCCUAUUUUUUGCACACGGAGGCACCUCGCAAAGUCUCGCGCCAUUCUGAGCCCGGCGGACGAAGUUGGCCUGCCCCACACCCCAAGGCUAUAGCCCACCCGUUUUUGUGGGCUUUUUCUGCAGGACGAACUUGGCGCCCCGGCCUUCGGCGGUUAUUUUUGGGCGCGGCUUUGCCCGUGGCCUAUUUUUGGUACAGGGAGGCCCCUCACAAAGUCUCGCGGCAUUCCGAGUCCGGUGGACGAAGUUGGCCAGCCCAACCACCCAAGGCUAUAGCCCACCCGUUUUUGUGGCUUUUUUCCGCUGGACGAACUUGGCGCCCCGGCCUUCGGGCGGUUAUUUUUGGGCGCGGCUUUUCCCGCGUCCUACUUUUGGCACACAGAGGCCCCUCGCAAAGUCUCGCGGCAUUCCGAGUCCGGCGGACGAAGUUGGCCAGCCCCACCCGCCAAGGCUAUAGCCCACCCGUUUUUGUGGCCUUUUUGCGCUGGACGAACUUGGCGCCCCGGCCUUCGGGCGGUUAUUUUUGGGCGCGGCUUUGCCCACGGCCUACUUUUGGCACGCGGAGGCCCCUUGCAACGUCUAGCGGCAUUCUGAGUCUGGCGGACGAUGUUGGCCAGCCCCACCCCCCAAGGCUAUAGCCCACCCGUUUUUGUGGCCUUUUUCCGCUGGACGAACUUGGCGCCCCGGCCUUUGGGAGGUUAUUUUUGGGUACGACUUUGCCCGCGGCCUACUUUUGGCACACGGAGGCCCCUCGCAAAGUCUCGCGGCAUUCCGAGUCCGGCGGACGAAGUCGGCCAGCCCCACCCCCCAAGGCUACAGCCCACCCGUUUUGGUGGCCUUUUUCCGCUGGAGGAAGUUGGCGCCCCGGCCUUCGGCAGUUAUUUUUGGGCGCGGCUUUGCCCGCGGCCUAUAUUUUGGCACACGGAGGCCCCUCGCAAAGUCUCGCGGCAUUCUGAGUCCGGCGGACGAAGUUGGCCAGCCCAACCACCCAAGGCUAUACCCACCCGUUUUUGUGGGCUUUUUCCGCUGGACGAACUUGGCGCCCCGGCCUUCGGGCGGUUAUUUUUGAGGACGGCUGUGUCCGCGUCCUAUUUUUGGCACACGGAGGUGGCUCACAAAGUCUCGCGCCAUUCCGAGUCCGGCGGACGAAGUUGGCCAGCCCCACCCCCCAAGGCUAUAGCCCACCCGUUUUUGUGGCCUUUUUCCGCUGGACGAACUUGGCGCCCCGGCCUUCGGGCGGUUAUCUUCGGGCGCAGCUUUGCCCGUGGCUUAUUUUUGGCACACGGAGGCCCCUCGCAAAGUCUCACGGCAUUCUGAGUCCGGCGGACGAAGUUGGCCAGCCCCACCCCCCAAGGCUAUAGCCCACCCAUUUUUGUGGCUUUUCCGCUGGACGAACUUGGCGCCCCGGCCUUCGGGCGGUUAUUUUUGGGCGCGGCUUUGGCCGAGGCCUAUUUUUGGCACACAGAGGCCCCUCGUAAAGUUUCGCGGCAUUCCGAGUCCGGCGGACGAAGAUGGCCAGCCCCACCCCCCAAGGCUAUAGCCCACCCGUUUUUGUGGCCUUUUUCCGCUGGACGAACUUGGCGCCCCGGCCUUCGGGCAGUUAUUUUUGGGUUCUGCUGUGCCCGCGGCCUAUUUUUGGCACACGGAGGUGCCUCGGAAUGUCUCGCGCCAUUCCGAGUCCGGCGGAUGAAGUGGGCCAGCCCCAGGCCCCAAGGCUAUAGCCCACCCGUUUUUGUGGCCUUUUUCCGCUGGACGAACAUGGCGCCCUGACCUUCGGGCGGUUAUUUUUGUGCGCGGCUGUGCCCGCGGCCUAUUUUUUGCACACGGAGGCACCUCGCAAAGUCUCGCGCCAUUCUGAGCCCGGCGGACGAAGUUGGCCUGCCCCACACCCCAAGGCUAUAGCCCACCCGUUUUUGUGGGCUUUUUCUGUAGGACGAACUUGGCGCCCCGGCCUUCGGCGGUUAUUUUUGGGCGCGGCUUUGUCCGUGGCCUAUUUUUGGCACAGGGAGGCCCCUCACAAAGUCUCGCGGCAUUCCGAGUCCGGUGGACGAAGUUGGCCAGCCCAACCACCCAAGGCUAUAGCCCACCCGUUUUUGUGGCUUUUUUCCGCUGGACGAACUUGGCGCCCCGGCCUUCGGGCGGUUAUUUUUGGGCGCGGCUUUUCCCGCGUCCUACUUUUGGCACACAGAGGCCCCUCGCAAAGUCUCGCGGCAUUCCGAGUCCGGCGGACGAAGUUGGCCAGCCCCACCCGCCAAGGCUAUAGCCCACCCAUUUUUGUGGCCUUUUUGCGCUGGACGAACUUGGCGCCCCGGCCUUCGGGCGGUUAUUUUUGGGCGCGGCUUUGCCCACGGCCUACUUUUGGCUCGCGGAGGCCCCUUGCAAAGUCUCGCGGCAUUCUGAGUCUGGCGGACGAAGUGGGCCAGCCCCACCCCCCAAGGCUAUAGCCCACCCGUUUUUGUGGCCUUUUUCCGCUGGACGAACUUGGCGCCCCGGCCUUCGGGCGGUUAUUUUUGGGUGCGGCUUUGCCCGCGGCCUACUUUUGGCACACGGAGGCCCCUCGCAAAGUCUCACGGCAUUCCGAGUCCGGCGGACGAAGUUGGCCAGCCCCACCCCCCAAGGCUAUAGCCCACCCGUUUUUGUGGCCUUUUUCCGCUGGACGAACUUGGCGCCCCGGCCUUUGGGAGGUUAUUUUUGGGUACGGCUUUGCCCGCGGCCUACUUUUGGCACACGGAGGCCCCUCGCAAAGUCUCGCGGCAUUCCGAGUCCGGCGGACGAAGUCGGCCAGCCCCACCCCCCAAGGCUACAGCCCACCCGUUUUUGUGGCCUUUUUCCGCUGGAGGAAGUUGGCGCCCCGGCCUUCGGCAGUUAUUUUUGGGCGCGGCUUUGCCCGCGGACUAUAUUUUGGCACACGGAGGCCCCUCGCAAAGUCUCGCGGCAUUCUGAGUCCGGCGGACGAAGUUGGCCAGCCCCACCCCCCAAGGCUAUACCCACCCGUUUUUGUGGGCUUUUUCCGCUGGACGAACUUGGCGCCCCGGCCUUCGGGCGGUUAUUUUUGAGGAUGGCUGUGUCCGCGUCCUAUUUUUGGCACACGGAGGUGGCUCACAAAGUCUCGCGCCAUUCCGAGUCCGGCGGACGAAGUUGGCCAGCCCCACCCCCCUAGGCUAUAGCCCACCCGUUUUUGAGGCCUUUUUCAGCUGGACGAACUUGGCGCCCCGGCCUUCGGGCGGUUAUCUUUGGACGCGGCUUUUCCCGUGGCCUAUUUUUGGCACACGGAGGCCGCUCGCAAAGUCUCACGGCAUUCCGAGUCCGGCGGACGAAGUUGGCCAGCCCCACCCCCCAAGGCUAUAGCCCACCCGUUUUUGUGGCUUUUUCCGCUGGACGAACUUGGCGCCCCGGCCUUCGGGCGGUUAUUUUUGGGCGCGGCUUUGGCCGCGGCCUAGUUUUGGCACACAGAGGCCCCUCGUAAAGUCUCGCGGCAUUCCGAGUCCGGCGGACGAAGAUGGCCAGCCCCACCCCCCAAGGCUAUAGCCCACCCGUUUUUGUGGCCUUUUUCCGCUGGACGAACUUGGCGUCCCAACAUUCGGGCGGUUAUUUUUGAGCGCGGCUGGUCCGCGUCCUAUUUNNNNNNNNNNNNNNNNNNNNNNNNNNNNNNNNNNNNNNNNNNNNNNNNNNNNNNNNNNNNNNNNNNNNNNNNNNNNNNNNNNNNNNNNNNNNNNNNNNNNCCAGCCCCACCCCCCAAGGCUAUAGCCCACCGUUUUUGUGGCUUUUUCCGCUGGACGAACUUGGCGUCCCGGCUUCGGGCGGGUUAUUUUUGAGCGCGGCUGUGUCCGCGUCCUAUUUUUGGCACAAGGAGACGGCUCACAAAGUCUCGCGCCAUUCCGAGUCCGGCGGACGAAGUUGGCCAGCCCCACCCCCCAAGGCUAUAGCCCACCCGUUUUUGAGGCCUUUUUAAGCUGGACGAACUUGGCGCCCCGGCCUUCGGGCUGUUAUCUUUGGGCGCGGCUUUGCCUGUGGCCUAGUUUUGGCACACGGAGGCCCAUCGCAAAGUCUCACGGCAUUCCGAGUCCGGCGGACGAAGUUGGCCAGCCCCACCCCCCAAGGCUAUAGCCCACCCGUUUUUGUGGCUUUUUCCGUUGGACGAACUUGGCGCCCCGGCCUUCGGGCGGUUAUUUUUGGGCGCGGCUUUGGCCGCAGCCUAUUUUUGGCACACAGAGGCCCUUCGUAAAUUAUCGCGGCAUUCCGAGUCCGGCGGACGAAGAUGGCCAGCCCCACCCCCCAAGGCUAUAGCCCACCCGUUUUUGUGGCCUUUUUCCGCUGGACGAACUUGGCGCCCCGGCCUUCGGGCGGUUAUUUUUGGGUGCGGCUGUGCCCGCGGCCUAUUUUUGGCACACGGAGGUGCCUCGCAAAGUCUCGCGCCAUUCCGAGUCUGGCGGAUGAAGUGGGCCAGCCCCAGCCCCCAAGGCUAUAGCCCACCCGUUUUUGUGGCCUUUUUCCGCUGGACGAACUUGGCGCCCUGACCUUCGGGCGGUUAUUUUUGUGCGCGGCUGUGCCCACGGCCUAUUUUUUGCACACGGAGGCACCUCGCAAAGUCUCUUGCCAUUCUGAGCCCGGCGGACGAAGUUGGCCUGCCCCACACCCCAAGGCUAUAGCCCACCCGUUUUUGUGGCCUUUUUGCGCUGGACGAACUUGGCGCCCCGGCCUUCGGGCGGUUAUUUUUGGGCGCGGCUUUGCCCGCGGCCUACUUUUGGCACACGGAGGCCCCUCGCAAAGUCUCGCGGCAUUCUGAGUCCGGCGGACGAAGUUGGCCAGCCCCACCCCCCAAGGCUAUAGCCCACCCGUUUUUGUGNNN